rnacentral:rRNA from 1 species
AUUGAACGCUGGCGGCAGGCCUAACACAUGCAAGUCGAGCGAGCGGCGGACGGGUGAGUAAUGUCUGGGAAACUGCCUGAUGGAGGGGGAUAACUACUGGAAACGGUAGCUAAUACCGCAUCCCAUAAGAUGUGCCCAGGUGGGAUUAGCUAGUAGGUGUGGUAACGGCUCACCUCGGCGACGAGCCCUAGCUGGUCUGAGAGGAUGACCUGCCACACUGGAACUGAGACACGGUCCAGAUGUCUACGGGAGGCAGCAGUGGGGAAGAUUGCACGAAGGGCGCAAGCCUGAUGCAGCCAGGCCGUGUGUGAAGAAGGCCUUCGGGUGGUAAAGCACUUUCAGCGGGGAGGCGUUACCCGCAGAAGAAGCACCGGCUAACUCCGUGCCAGCAGCCGCGGUAAUUC